GUUUGGGUUCUCAAGAAUCGCUCUGAUUGAUUUCGUUGUGGUGUUCUUAGGGGUUCGUCCUCUUCCUUUUUGAACAGUAGCCGCCCCCUCCAUUAGGAGAAUGUUCUUGCUUUUAUAUCCAUCCUGCUAGGGUUUUUUCGAAUUGGCCCACAAGAGCCAAGGGACAUCGGUCUUGGAGGACGCCUCUUGUGCUGCCCUUUGUCUACCCUAUUUUGAUGUUUUGUUCUGAAAAAGUGAAACGCGAGCAAAAGAAUGGAAAGUAUGUCUUCACUUGGGGCUGCAGGUUGAAGGUGGCGAUGGCAUUUUUGCUACUGUUGAUGCUUUACAAGGGGUUAUAAAUGGUUUUUUCAUGUCAUCCAUCUGUGCACCUGAAUCAAUAGGAUUUUGUAGUUCCAACUUUGCGUCGUUGGUCUCGGUUUCCACCACUUCAGAACGAAAAGCAUUAGUAGUUCCACUGUGUAUAUUUUUUUCUCAAAAAUAUUGCCACAUCUCACAAUUUAAUGUUGUUUUGCUGCAGGUAGUUUGUUCUCCAUUUUGGCGAAGGGAAUCAUAGCUAGUUUGGUUGAGUAAAUCUUCAGCAUCGUAGACAACAUCUUUCAAAUCAUCAAGCCAUUCUUUGACAGAAAGAGUGUUGAUUUGCUUCUCUUUUGCAGCUCCUAGCACAGGUUGAAGGGUGCGUCAAUUGAAUCAAAUAAGCAGAAAUCCACAAGAUCAUCUAGCAGUGCAAAUGGUUAUGCCGUAUAUUUUUGAAGAUUCUAAGUCUGCUGCUGAAACAACAAUUGGGUCAGUAGAGAAAAUAAUUGCAGAUGCUGAUAUGGCUAUGAAGGACCAUAGUGAAUCCUCUCAACCGUAUUACAAUGAUAAGUGCGAUAAUGGUCCUGAGCAAUAAGGAUACAUUGCCGACCCAAUUGUAUGGUGGUAAGGAAUAUAGAAUACAUAACUACCAUCAAGCUUCUACACAUUCAGAUAUUAAGUUUUGAUAGCAGUUUGUGAUGAAGAAAUUGAAACAGAACCUGUGCUGAAGCGACCAAUCGAAUUAGAUUUUCUUGAGGUUGCUUGGUCCAGUGUUAAUGGCCAACAACUAAUUUUAUUGUAUCAUAUACAAGGCCUAUAAUUUUCCUCAAUUAACAUACUAGUUUCUCCUUUGUAUAUCACUUCAAUUAAGAUUUGACGAAGAUUUAUUA